rnacentral:rRNA from 1 species
GGGGAAUAUUGGACAAUGGGCGCAAGCCUGAUCCAGCCAAGCCGCGUGAGUGAUGAAGGCCUUAGGGUUGUAAAGCUCUUUCGGCCGGGAAGAAAUCGUGCAGGCUAAUACCCUGUAUGGAUGACGGUACCGGAAUAAGAAGCACCGGCUAACUUCGUGCCAGCAGCCGCGGUAAUACGAAGGGUGCAAGCGUUACUCGGAAUUACUGGGCGUGAAAGCGUGCGUAGGUGGUGGUUUAAGUCCGUUGUGAAAGCCCUGGGCUCAACCUGGGAACUGCAGUGGAUACUGGAUCACUAGAGUGUGGCAGAGGGUAGUGGAAUUCCCGGUGUAGCAGUGAAAUGCGUAGAGAUCGGGAGGAACAUCAGUGGCGAAGGCGACUGCCUGGGCCAACACUGACACUGAGGCACGAAAGCGUGGGGAGCAAACA